rnacentral:rRNA from 1 species
CAAGCGGAGCAUGCGCUUAAUUCGAUGCAACGCGAAGAACCUUACCUGGGCUUGACAUGCAGGGUGAAACCCGUGAAAGCGGGCGCUCUUCGGAGCCUGCACAGGUGGUGCAUGGCUGUCGUCAGCUCGUGCCGUGAGGUGUUGCCUUAAGUGGCGCAACGAGCGCAACCCCUGUCCUUAGUUGCCAGCGGAUCAUGCCGGGAACUCUAGGGAGACUGCCGGUGCCAAACCGGAGGAAGGUGGGGAUGACGUCAAGUCAUCAUGCCCCUUAUGUCCAGGGCUGCACGCAUGCUACAAUGCGCGGUACAGAGGGCUGCGAUCCCGUAAGGGGGUGCGAAUCCCAGAAAGCCGUGCUCAGUUCGGAUCGAGGUCUGCAACCCGACCUCGUGAAGUCGGAGUCGCUAGUAAUCGCGGAUCAGCAAUGCCGCGGUGAAUACGUUCCCGGGCCUUGUGCACACCGCCCGUCACACCACGAAAGUGGGCAACACCCGAAGCCGGUGGCCCAAUCCUUGUGGAGGGAGCCGUCGAAGGUGGGGCUCGCGAUUGGGGUGAAGUCGUAACAAGGUAGCCGUACCGGAAGGUGCGGCUGGAUCACCUCCUU